ACGGGUGAGUAACACGUGGGCAACCUACCUUAUCGACUGGGAUAACUCCGGGAAACCGGGGCUAAUACCGGAUAACAUCUAGCACCUCCUGGUGCCGGAUUAAAAGAGGGCUUCUUGCUCUCACGAUGAGAUGGGCCCGCGGCGCAUUAGCUAGUUGGAGAGGUAACGGCUCCCCAAGGCGACGAUGCGUAGCCGACCUGAGAGGGUGAUCGGCCACACUGGGACUGAGACACGGCCCAGACUCCUACGGGAGGCAGCAGUAGGGAAUCUUCCGCAAUGGACGAAAGUCUGACGGAGCAACGCCGCGUGAGUGAUGAAGGGUUUCGGCUCGUAAAGCUCUGUUAUGAGGGAAGAACACGUACCGUUCGAAUAGGGCGGUACCUUGACGGUACCUCAUCAGAAAGCCACGGCUAACUACGUGCCAGCAGCCGCGGUAAUACGUAGGUGGCAAGCGUUGUCCGGAAUUAUUGGGCGUAAAGCGCGCGCAGGCGGCCUUUUAAGUCUGAUGUGAAAUCUUGCGGCUCAACCGCAAGCGGCCAUUGGAAACUGGGAGGCUUGAGUACAGAAGAGGAGAGUGGAAUUCCA
rnacentral:rRNA from 1 species